UGCAUCUGAUACUGGCAAGCUUGAGUCUCGUAGAGGGGGGUAGAAUUCCAGGUGUAGCGGUGAAAUGCGUAGAGAUCUGGAGGAAUACCGGUGGCGAAGGCGGCCCCCUGGACGAGACUGACGCUCAGGUGCGAAAGCGUGGGGAGCAAACAGGAUUAGAUACCCUGGUAGUCCACGCCGUAAACGAUGUCGACUUGGAGGUUGUGCCCUUGAGGCGUGGCUUCCGGAGCUAACGCGUUAAGUCGACCGCCUGGGGAGUACGGCCGCAAGGUUAAAACUCAAAUGAAUUGACGGGGGCCCGCACAAGCGGUGGAGCAUGUGGUUUAAUUCGAUGCAACGCGAAGAACCUUACCUGGUCUUGACAUCCACGGAAGUUUUCAGAGAUGAGAAUGUGCCUUCGGGAACCGUGAGACAGGUGCUGCAUGGCUGUCGUCAGCUCGUGUUGUGAAAUGUUGGGUUAAGUCCCGCAACGAGCGCAACCCUUAUCCUUUGUUGCCAGCGGUCCGGCCGGGAACUCAAAGGAGACUGCCAGUGAUAAACUGGAGGAAGGUGGGGAUGUCGUCAAGUCAUCAUGGCCCUUACGACCAGGGCUACACACGUGCUACAAUGGCGCAUACAAAGAGAAGCGACCUCGCGAGAGCAAGCGGACCUCAUAAAGUGCGUCGUAGUCCGGAUUGGAGUCUGCAACUCGACUCCAUGAAGUCGGAAUCGCUAGUAAUCGUGGAUCAGAAUGCCACGGUGAAUACGUUCCCGGGCCUUGUACACACCGCCCGUCACACCAUGGGAGUGGGUUGCAAAAGAAGUAGGUAGCUUAACCUUCGGGAGGGCGCUUACCACUUUGUGAUUCAUGACUUGGGUGAAGUCGUAACAAGGUAACCA
rnacentral:rRNA from 1 species